GAUGAACGCUGGCGGCGUGCUUAACACAUGCAAGUCGAACGAGGCACUUUAUUUGAUUUCCUUCGGGACUGAUUAUUUUGUGACUGAGUGGCGGACGGGUGAGUAACGCGUGGGUAACCUGCCUUGUACAGGGGGAUAACAGUUGGAAACGGCUGCUAAUACCGCAUAAGCGCACGGCAUCGCAUGAUGCAGUGUGAAAAACUCCGGUGGUAUAAGAUGGACCCGCGUUGGAUUAGCUAGUUGGUGAGGUAACGGCCCACCAAGGCGACGAUCCAUAGCCGACCUGAGAGGGUGACCGGCCACAUUGGGACUGAGACACGGCCCAAACUCCUACGGGAGGCAGCAGUGGGGAAUAUUGCACAAUGGGCGAAAGCCUGAUGCAGCGACGCCGCGUGAGCGAAGAAGUAUUUCGGUAUGUAAAGCUCUAUCAGCAGGG
rnacentral:rRNA from 1 species